UACGUAGGGUGCAAGCGUUAAUCGGAAUUACUGGGCGUAAAGCGUGCGCAGGCGGUGAUGUAAGACAGAUGUGAAAUCCCCGGGCUCAACCUGGGAACUGCAUUUGUGACUGCAUCGCUAGAGUACGGCAGAGGGGGAUGGAAUUCCGCGUGUAGCAGUGAAAUGCGUAGAUAUCCGGAGGAACACCAGUGGCGAAAGCGGCCACCUGGACUGCACCUGACGCUGACACGCGAAAGCUAGGGGAGCGAACGGG
rnacentral:rRNA from 1 species